UUCCUGAGUGUAGGCUUUGCCUGCUAUCUCUUACCCAUGUCUUUUGAGUACCUUACGUUUCCUCGGUGGGUUCGCCCACCGAUUGGACAAAUUUAAACCCUUUGCAGUUGAAAUCAGCGUCUGAAAAAACUUAAUAGUUACAACUUUCAACAACGGCCCCUUGGUUCUGGCAUCGAUGAAGAACGCAGCGAAAUGCGAUAAGUAGUGUGAGGUGCAGAAUUCAGUGAAUCAUCGAAUCUUUGAACGCACAUUGCGCCCCUUGGUAUUCCAUGGGGCAUGCCUGUUCGAGCGUCAUUUGUACCUUCAAGCUCUGCUUGGUGUUGGGUGUUUGUCUCCUGUAGACUCGCCUUAAAACAAUUGGCAGCCGGCGUAUUGAUUUCGGAGCGCAGUACAUCUCGCGCUUUGCACUCAUAACGACGACAUCCAAAAGUACAUUGUUACACUCUUGACCUCGGAUCAGGUAGGGAUACCCGCUGAACUUAAGCAUAUCAAUAAGCCGG
rnacentral:rRNA from 1 species